CAAAAUUAGUCUAAGAUGAGAUAUACUGUCUUUCCAUGCAGGAUGAUAAGAUAUCUUGUCUUAGAUUGUUUAUUGCGCACAUCGGGGGAUCGUGAAGAUUUUAUUGGUGAGUAAGUAUACUCGGAAGGGCAAUGAUGAAUAUUAAAUAAUCGGACAUAGUACGAUAAGGUUGUAUGUCUAAAGGGAAACAGCCCAGAACAAGAGUUAAGGUUCCUAAAUUAAUGUUAAGUGAAAUUAAGGUAGUUUCUAUUAAAUACGACUAGAAAGUAGGCUUAGAAGCGGCCAUUUUUUGAAGACCUCGUAACAGAGCACUGGUUUAGUAAGUAGUUCACUAUUUACAUUGAUAGAAGCACCGAAAAUAUAUCGGAUCUAAACAAUAUACCGACACCUUGUUCAUAUUUAUAAAUAAAAAAAAAAAAAUAAAGCUGAUAAGGCAUGCUGAUCUUCUAUAAAAAUUUUAAGGGGAAAAUCCUUUUUUUCGUCGGCUGCACAGCGCGCAGCUAGCUAGCUAAUAUUAUUAGUUUUUAUUAUAAAUAAGAGGUAGCAGAACGUUAGGUAGAUCUCACGAUUUAAUCUUUUCAAGAUUAAAAAAGAUAGAAUAUCCUAAGUGAUAAUGCUGACAUGAGUAACGAUAAAGGGGCUGCUUUCGAA
rnacentral:rRNA from 1 species